GAUGAACGCUGGCGGCGUGCCUAAUACAUGCAAGUCGAGCGAACAGACGAGGAGCUUGCUCCUCUGACGUUAGCGGCGGACGGGUGAGUAACACGUGGAUAACCUACCUAUAAGACUGGGAUAACUUCGGGAAACCGGAGCUAAUACCGGAUAAUAUAUUGAACCGCAUGGUUCAAUAGUGAAAGACGGUUUUGCUGUCACUUAUAGAUGGAUCCGCGCCGCAUUAGCUAGUUGGUAAGGUAACGGCUUACCAAGGCAACGAUGCGUAGCCGACCUGAGAGGGUGAUCGGCCACACUGGAACUGAGACACGCUCCAGACUCCUACGGGAGGCAGCAGUAGGGAAUCUUCCGCAAUGGGCGAAAGCCUGACGGAGCAACGCCGCGUGAGUGAUGAAGGUCUUCGGAUCGUAAAACUCUGUUAUUAUGGAAGAACAAAUGUGUAAGUAACUAUGCACGUCUUGACGGUACCUAAUCAGAAAGCCACGGCUAACUACGUG
rnacentral:rRNA from 1 species